AGAAGGUGGGGAUCGCAUGGGGGGACCUGAUCCAGCCAUGCCGCGUGUGUGAAGAAGGCCUUAUGGUUGUAAAGCACUUUAAGCGAGGAGGAGGCUACUAGUAUUAAUACUACUGGAUAGUGGACGUUACUCGCAGAAUAAGCACCGGCUAACUCUGUGCCAGCAGCCGCGGUAAUACAGAGGGUGCGAGCGUUAAUCGGAUUUACUGGGCGUAAAGCGUGCGUAGGCGGCCAUUUAAGUCAAAUGUGAAAUCCCCGAGCUUAACUUGGGAAUUGCAUUCGAUACUGGAUGGCUAGAGUAUGGGAGAGGAUGGUAGAAUUCCAGGUGUAGCGGUGAAAUGCGUAGAGAUCUGGAGGAAUACCGAUGGCGAAGGCAGCCAUCUGGCCUAAUACUGACGCUGAGGUACGAAAGCAUGGGGAGCAAACAGGAUUAGAUACCCUGGUAGUCCAUGCCGUAAACGAUGUCUACUAGCCGUUGGGGCCUUUGAGGCUUUAGUGGCGCAGCUAACGCGAUAAGUAGACCGCCUGGGGAGUACGGUCGCAAGACUAAAACUCAAAUGAAUUGACGGGGGCCCGCACAAGCGGUGGAGCAUGUGGUUUAAUUCGAUGCAACGCGAAGAACCUUACCUGGCCUUGACAUACUAGAAACUUUCCAGAGAUGGAUUGGUGCCUUCGGGAAUCUAGAUACAGGUGCUGCAUGGCUGUCGUCAGCUCGUGUCGUGAGAUGUUGGGUUAAGUCCCGCAACGAGCGCAACCCUUUUCCUUACUUGCCAGCAUUUCGGAUGGGGAACUUUAAGGGAUACUGCCAGUGACAAACUGGGAGGAAGGCGGGGACGACGUCAAGUCAUCAUGGCCCUUUACGGCCAGGGCUACACACGUGCUACAAUGGGUCGGUACAAAGGGUUGCU
rnacentral:rRNA from 1 species